rnacentral:rRNA from 1 species
AUUGAACGCUGGCGGCAUGCCUUACACAUGCAAGUCGAACGGCAGCACGGGUGCUUGCACCUGGUGGCGAGUGGCGAACGGGUGAGUAAUACAUCGGAACGUACCUUAUCGUGGGGGAUAACGCAGCGAGAGCUACGCUAAUACCGCAUACGAUCUACGGAUGAAAGCGGGGGAUCGCAAGACCUCGCGCGAUUGGAGCGGCCGAUGGCAGAUCAGGUAGGUGGUAGGGUAAAGGCCUACCAAGCCGACGAUCUGUAGCUGGUCUGAGAGGAUGAUCAGCCACACUGGGACUGGGACACGGCCCAGACUCCUACGGGAGGCAGCAGUGGGGAAUUUUGGACAAUGGACGCAAGUCUGAUCCAGCCAUUCCGCGUGCAGGAUGAAGGCCCUCGGGUUGUAAACUGCUUUUGUACAGAACGAAAAGGCUCUGGUUAAUACCUGGGGCUCAUGACGGUACUGUAAGAAUAAGCACCGGCUAACUACGUGCCAGCAGCCGCAGUAA